CAGGGAUUGCCUCAGUAACGGCGAGUGAAGCGGCAACAGCUCAAAUUUUAAAGCUGGCGUCCUCGACGCCCGCGUUGUAAUUUGGAGAGGCAUCUUCGGUUUGGGCGCCAGCCUAUGUUCCUUGGAACAGGACGUCACAGAGGGUGAGAAUCCCGUGCUUGGCUGGCUGUCCCUCUCCAUGUGAAGUGUCUUCGACGAGUCGAGUUGUUUGGGAAUGCAGCUCAAAAUGGGUGGUAAAUUUCAUCUAAAGCUAAAUAUUGGCGGGAGACCGAUAGCGCACAAGUAGAGUGAUCGAAAGAUGAAAAGCACUUUGAAAAUAGAGUUAAAAAGUACGUGAAAUUGUUGAAAGGGAAGCGCUUGAGACCAGACUCGGCCGACGGCGAUCAGCGGCCCUUCUGGGCUGUGCACUCGUCAUCGGUUCGGGCCAGCAUCGGUCGAGACGGCGGGAUAAAGGCCCGAGGAAUGUGGCUCCUCUCGGGGAGUGUUAUAGCCUCGGGUGCAAUGCCGCCAGCCUCGACCGAGGACCGCGCUCUUUUGCUAGGAUGCUGGCGUAAUGGUCUUCAGCGACCCGUCUUGAAACACGGACCAAGGAGUCUAACAUCUAUGCGAGUGUUUGGGUGUCAAACCCUUGCGCGUAAUGAAAGUGAACGGAGGUGGGAACCCCUCCUCUGGGGGGGCGCACCAUCGACCGAUCCUGAUGUCUUCGGAUGGAUUUGAGUAGGAGCAUAGCUGC
rnacentral:rRNA from 1 species